CCUACGGGUGUGCAGCAGUGAGGAAGAUUGGGCAAUGGACGAGAGGCUGAACCAGCCAAGGAGCGUGAAGGAUGAAUGCCCGAUGGGUUGGAAACUUCUUUUAGAGGGGAAGAAAACGUUCCACGUGUGGGAUUUUGGAUGUACCAUAUGAAGAAGGAGCGGCGAACUCCGGGCCAGCAGCCGCGGUAAUACGGAGGAUCCGAGCGUUAGCCGGAUUUCUUGGGUUUAACGGGAGCGUAGGUGGAUUGUGAAGUCAGUUGUGAAAGUUUGCGGCUCAACCGUAAAAUUGCAGUUGAAACUGGCAGUCUUGCGUACAGUAGAGGUGGGCGGAAUUCGUGGUGUAGCG
rnacentral:rRNA from 1 species